rnacentral:lncRNA from 1 species
AUAGCCCCUCGGGCGUACGGUUCACGGAGCUGCAAGGCUGCGCCCUUCCAGACACCGAAUUUGAGCUGUCGAGGUUGUUUGGCUGUAGCCCGUGGCAAAGGAAACAUACUUCGGAGCUGCGGUGCAUCCCCACACCCAUUGAAGGUGUAUAACGUUCAGCGGACGGCCAGAUGGAGUGCACCGAAUGUUUUUGCGCUCCGUGUAUACUGACCCAAGGCCACGUGAGGGUGGGGAUGGGCCAGGCACCGUCGUCCAAGAAUCCUGGGGUUCGCAAGAAGUAUUACAGAAUGUACUGGGCCUGCCUGGCAAAUCUGGCCGCUUGGCGUGACCCCAGGUACUUGGAGAAGAAGAGACAAGCCGGCCAAGGAGUAUAUACUAAGCGUGAAUUGAUGCCAGUGUGCGUAGUUGCACACGUCCGGUGCCUGUAUCCAAACCCACCUGGUGUUCCCUACAUGGGGCACAUGUGGGAGUAAACUAUUUGUGUAUAAA